GUGAACGCUGGCGGUAGGCCUAACACAUGCAAGUCGAACGGCAGCACAGUAAGAGCUUGCUCUUACGGGUGGCGAGUGGCGGACGGGUGAGGAAUACAUCGGAAUCUACUUUUUCGUGGGGGAUAACGUAGGGAAACUUACGCUAAUACCGCAUACGACCUACGGGUGAAAGCAGGGGAUCUUCGGACCUUGCGCGAUUGAAUGAGCCGAUGCCGGAUUAGCUAGUUGGCGGGGUAAAGGCCCACCAAGGCGACGAUCCGUAGCUGGUCUGAGAGGAUGAUCAGCCACACUGGCACUGAGACCCGGUCCCGACUCCUACGGGAGGCAGCAGUGGGGAAUAUUGGACAAUGGGCGCAAGCCUGAUCCAGCCAUACCGCGUGGGUGAAGAAGGCCUUCGGGUUGUAAAGCCCUUUUGUUGGGAAAGAAAAGCAGCAGGUUAAUACCCCGCUGUUCUGACGGUACCCAAAGAAUAAGCACCGGCUAACUUCGUG
rnacentral:rRNA from 1 species